UCCUACGGGAGGCAGCAGUGAGGAAUAUUGGUCAAUGGGCGGAAGCCUGAACCAGCCAAGUCGCGUGAGGGAAUAAGGCCCUACGGGUCGUAAACCUCUUUUGCCGGGGAGCAAGGGCCGGGACGCGUCCCGACCCGGAGAGUACCCGGAGAAAAAGCAUCGGCUAACUCCGUGCCAGCAGCCGCGGUAAUACGGAGGAUGCGAGCGUUAUCCGGAUUUAUUGGGUUUAAAGGGCGCGUAGGCGGGCUUUUAAGUCAGCGGUAAAAUUUAGGGGCUAAACCCCGUCCGGCCGUGGA
rnacentral:rRNA from 1 species